rnacentral:tRNA from 1 species
GGGGCCGUAGUCUAGCCUGGCUAGGAUGCCGGCCUGGGGCGCCGGUGAUCCCGGG